CAAUAGCGUAUAUUAAAGUUGUUGCAGUUAAAAGCUCGUAGUUGGAUUUCUGGCAGGAGCGACCGGUCGCACGCUAUGCGUGUGAACUUGUGUUGUCUCUGGCCAUCCUUGGGGAGAUCCCGUUUGGCAUUAAGUUGUCGGGCGGGGGAUACCCAUCGUUUACUGUGAAAAAUUAGAGUGUUCAAAGCAGGCCUAUGCUCUGAAUAGGUUAGCAUGGAAUAAUAAAAUAGGACUUUGGUUCUAUUUUGUUGGUUUCUAGGACCGAAGUAAUGAUUAAUAGGGACAGUUGGGGGCAUUCAUAUUCCAAUGUCAGAGGUGAAAUUCUUGGAUUAUCGGAAGAUGAACUUCUGCGAAAGCAUCUGCCAAGGAUGUUUUCAUUGAUCAAGAACGAAAGUUAGGGGAUCGAAGACGAUUAGAUACCAU
rnacentral:rRNA from 1 species